GCUACGGGAGGCAGCAGUAGGGAAUCUUCCACAAUGGGCGAAAGCCUGAUGGAGCAACGCCGCGUGGGUGAAGACGGUCUUCGGAUCGUAACGUUCUUUUCUAAGGGAAGAAGAAAGUGACGGUACCUUAGGAAUAAGCCUCGGCUAACUACUUACCAGCAGCCGCGGUAAUACGUAGGAGGCGGGCGUUAUCCGGAAUGACUGGGCGUAAAGGGUGCGUAGGUGGGUUGGCAAGUUAGUAGCGUAACUACAAGGCUCAAACUUGGAAGUACUACUAAAAAUGGUGGACGUGAGUGCAGGAGGGGCAACCGGAAUUCCUAGUGUAGCGGUGGAAUGCGUAGAUAUGAGGAGGAACACCAGGGGCGAAGGCGGGUUGCUAGACUGUAACUGACACUGAGGCACGAAAGCGUGGGGAGCAAACAGGAUUAGAUACCCGGGUAGUC
rnacentral:rRNA from 1 species